ensembl:lncRNA
GUGGGAUAUGGGGGGAUAUGGCGAUAUAUGGGGUGAUAUGGGGAUAUAUGGGGUGGGAUAUGGGGAUAUAUGGGGGAUAUGGGGUCAUUGGGGUGGGGCUAUAGGGGGAUAUGGGGAUAUAUGGGGUCAGUAGGGGGAUAUGGGGUUGGUAUAUGGGGAUAUAUGGGAUAUAUGGGGUGGGAUAUGGGGAUAUAUGGGGUGAUAUGGGGAUAUAUGGGGUAUAUAUGGGGUGAUAUAGGGAUAUAUGGGGAUAUAUGGGGUGGGAUAUGGGGAUAUAUGGGGUCAGUGGGGUGGGUAUAUGGGGUUAUAUGGGGAUAUGAGGGGGAUAUGGGGUUAUAUGGGGCAGAUAUGAGGAUAUAUGGGGUGAUAUGAGGUGGGAUAUGGGGAUAUAUGGGGAGAUAUGGGGAUAUAUGGGGAUAUAUGGGAUAUAUGGUGUGGGAUAUGGGGAUAUAUGGGGUGAUAUGGGGAUAUAUGGGGAUAUAUGGGAUAUAUGGGGUGGGAUAUGGGGAUAUAUGGGGUGGGGAGGAUAUAUGGGGUGGGAUAUGGGGAUAUAUGGGGGAUAUGGGGUCAUUGGGGUGGGGAUAUAGGGGGAUAUGGGGAUAUAUGGGGUCAGUAGGGGGAUAUGGGGUUGGUAUAUGGGGAUAUAUGGGGAUAUAUGGGGUAUAUGGGGAUAUAUGGGGUGGGAUAUGGGGAUAUAUGGGGUGGGAUAUGGGGAUAUAUGGGGUGAUAUGGGGUUAUAUGGGGGGAUAUGGGGUCAGUAAGGGGGUAUAUAGGGGGAUAUGGGGAUAUAUGGGGAUAUAUGGGGUGGGAUAUGGGGAUAUAUGGGGUCAAUGGGGAUAUAUGGGGUAUAUAUGGGGUGAUAUGGGGAUAUAUGGGGAUAUAUGGGGUGAUAUGGGGUCAAUGGGGGACGCACGGCCCUAAGGCAGAACUGUAGGGCCGAGUUCAACGACGCCAUCGUGGUGUCCAACAGGUCGGAUUAUGGGAUUAAAUGGGGUGAAUAUGGGAUUAAAUGGGGUUAAUAUGGGAUUAAAUGGGGUUAAUAUGGGAUUAAAUGGGGUUAAUAUGGGAUUAAAUGGGGUUAAUAUGGGAUUAAAUGGGGCUGGGACCCCAUAAUCUGGGGGUAAAUGGCCUUAAUCUGGGGCUGGGACCCCAUAAUCUGGGGUAUGGGAUCCGUAAUAUGGGAUUAAAUGGGGCUGGGACCCCAUAAUCUGGGGUAUGGGUUCGUAAUAUGGGAUUAAAUGGGGUUAAUAUGGGAUUAAAUGGGGUUAAUAUGGGAUUAAAUGGGGCUGGGACCCCAUAAUCUGGGGCUGGGACCCAUAAUUGGGGUCUGGGACCCCAUAAUCUGGGGUUAAAGGGGCUUAAUCUGGGGCUGGGACCCCAUAAUCUGGGGUAUGGGUCCGUAAUAUGGGAUUAAAUGGGAUUAAUAUGGGAUUAAAUGGGGCUGGGACCCCAUAAUCUGGGGCUGGGACCCCAUAAUCUGGGGUAUGGGUCCAUAAUCUGGGGUAUGGGGCCAUAAUCUGGGGUAUGGGGCCAUAAUAUGGGAUUAAAUGGGGUUAAUAUGGGAUUAAAUGGGGCUGGGACCCCAUAAUCUGGGGCUGGGACCCCAUAAUCUGGGGUUAAAGGGGCUUAAUAUGGGGCUGGGACCCCAUAAUCUGGGGUUAAAGGGGCAUAAUAUGGGGUUAAAUGGGCUUAAUAUGGGGCUGGGACCCCAUAAUCUGGGGNUUAAUAUGGGGCUGGGACCCCAUAAUCUGGGGUUAAAGGGGCAUAAUAUGGGGUUAAAUGGGCUUAAUAUGGGGCUGGGACCCCAUAAUCUGGGGCUGGGACCCCAUAAUCUGGGGGUAAAGGGUCUUAAUCUGGGGUUAAAUGGGCUUAAUCUGGGGCUGGGUCCCCAUAAUCUGGGGUAUGGGUCCGUAAUAUGGGA